GUGUGAGGAUGAGACGUCUGAUACAGCCUCUUUAGGAAGUUUUGAUUAUGAUUCUUUCAGAUUGCUAUCAGUCUAUGGAGAAAACAUAUCUGAUACAGUCUCUCUGAGAACUUCUGGUUAUGGCUCAAUCAGAUCUCAAUUAGACAACAGCUCAAUUUUUGCAUCAUCACACUCUAUAGAAAGACCUAUCAGCUUUAGAAAUGGAUCCAAAUAUUACAGGGUUAUAGGACAAAAAUGUGUGAGUGAGGAUAAGAUAUCUGAUUCAGUCUCUCUGAGAAGUUCUGCUUUUGGGCCAUUCAGAUCUCUAUCAGAUCCACACAGGUAUAAAUUUUUGGCAUCAUCACGUUCUAAAGACAAUCCUA